GAUGAACGCUGGCGGCGUGCCUAAUACAUGCAAGUCGAGCGAACGGACGAGAAGCUUGCUUCUCUGAUGUUAGCGGCGGACGGGUGAGUAACACGUGGAUAACCUACCUAUAAGACUGGGAUAACUUCGGGAAACCGGAGCUAAUACCGGAUAAUAUUUUGAACCGCAUGGUUCAAAAGUGAAAGACGGUCUUGCCGUCACUUAUAGAUGGAUCCGCGCUGCAUUAGCUAGUUGGUAAGGUAACGGCUUACCAAGGCAACGAUGCAUAGCCGACCUGAGAGGGUGAUCGGCCACACUGGAACUGAGACACGGUCCAGACUCCUACGGGAGGCAGCAGUAGGGAAGCUUCCGCAAUGGGCGAAAGCCUGACGGAGCAACGCCGCGUGAGUGAUGAAGGUCUUCGGAUCGUAAAACUCUGUUAUUAGGGAAGAACAUAUGUGUAAGUAACUGUGCACAUCUUGACGGUACCUAAUCAGAAAGCCACGGCUAACUACGUG
rnacentral:rRNA from 1 species